GAUGAACGUAGCGAAAUGCGAUAAGUAAUGUGAAUUGCAGAAUUCAGUGAAUCAUCGAAUCUUUGAACGCACAUUGCGCCCGCCAGUAUUCUGGCGGGCAUGCCUGUCUGAGCGUCAUUUCAACCCUCAUGCCCCUAGGGCGUGGUGUUGGGGAUCGGCCAAAGCCCGCGAGGGACGGCCGGCCCCUAAAUCUAGUGGCGGACCCGUCGUGGCCUCCUCUGCGAAGUAGUGAUAUUCCGCAUCGGAGAGCGAUGAGCCCCUGCCGUUAAACCCCCAACUUUCCAAGGUUGACCUCAGAUCAGGUAGGAAUACCCGCUGAACUUAAGCAUAUCAAUAAGCGGAGGA
rnacentral:misc_RNA from 1 species